GAGUUUGAUCCUGGCUCAGGACGAACGCUGGCGGCGUGCCUAACACAUGCAAGUCGAACGAAGCUUGACGAACGAUUCUUCGGAUGAAUUCUGAUAUGACUGAGUGGCGGACGGGUGAGUAACGCGUGAGCAACCUGCCCUUCAGAGGGGGAUAGUGUCUGGAAACGGACAGUAAUACCGCAUAACGUACAUUGAUGGCAUCUUCGAUGUACCAAAGCUUUUGCGCUGAAGGAUGGGCUCGCGUCUGAUUAGAUAGUUGGUGAGGUAACGGCCCACCAAGGCGACGAUCGGUAGCCGGACUGAGAGGUUGAACGGCCACAUUGGGACUGAGACACGGCCCAGACUCCUACGGGAGGCAGCAGUGGGGAAUAUUGCACAAUGGGGGAAACCCUGAUGCAGCGACGCCGCGUGGAGGAAGAAGGUCUUCGGAUUGUAAACUCCUGUUGUUGAGGAAGAUAAUGACGGUACUCAACAAGGAAGUGACGGCUAACUACGUGCCAGCCGCCGCGGUAAUUC
rnacentral:rRNA from 1 species